ensembl:lncRNA
GGUAGACCUCAGCUACGAGGUCUAUCAAACCUUUUCCCAGAGCUGAUGUGGAGCAAAAUUGGCUGGUUGAAAUUCCAUUUCCUUUUAUUGCUCCCAUAGAGAUGCUAAUGAAUAACAAACAAGGAGAGCAGAGGACCCAGGUAAUUAGUCAUUGUGGAUGUUCAGAGCUGGAAGGGACCUUUGAGGCUCCUCUGGUCCUGUUUUCUCUUUGCAGAGUUUGGGAAACUCAAGACUUGGAGAUGCUGGGUCCUAAUGGCUCAUGGUUGGCCACCAUGCAGUGCACAGAAUACCUCUACCAUGGCACUUGACAUGCACUUUCUGCUUUGUAGUCAACUGACCAUAGACUGAAUCCACUGAAACUAUAUUUUGCCCAACUGUAUUAAUUAGGGUUGCUUGAGGAGUCAAAUAUGCAACCAUUUCAAUAAAAUGUGGCAAUUUCUACAAUUGAAGUGUGUAUGGAAAUCAUUGGGAAGAGGUCUUGAAUUUGGCCAGCGGGAACUGGAGAAAUUUCUUUUCAGAGGCGCUGGCUGAGUAAUACAUUGCCCUGAAACCCAUAAGCCAGGAGGCGAAAGAAGUUUCAAGGAAGUUAAGCCAGAAGUGUUGGAAAGCAUGCAGUUAUCGGCAUACAUUGAUGGGGAUUUUCAUUAACAAUUUUUAUUUCUGUGAAUUGCAGAGCCAUCACCCCCUUUCUUAUGGAGUUCCGCUGACAGCUGCUACUUCACACCUUCCUUCCAGCUGGGAGGGUGGGCUGAUGGCUGCAUGCAUAUGCGCCUAACACAGAGUAGCUCCUUAGCCAGCAACCUGGGCAUCAGCUUCCUCCUGGAGCCCACAUGUGUCACCUUCAGGUCUCCUGGGACUCCCGUCAUUUCUGUGAAUUCAUCAGGAGGCUCUGGUAGAAGGCAGGAGGCCAAGCAGGCUAACCGGUGACUGGGAACAAAGGCCGGUUCAGGAGGAGUCACUCACCAGCGUGCUAAAGAACGCUUCCUUUCUCCUCCAUAACGUGUUUAAACCCUAAAGAUUCAGUGAAUAGCUUUCGGUGCUCAGAAAAUAAAUGUGAAGGGAUAACAGAAAGGCAAGAUUUUUUUUAAAAUUGAUUUUAACAGACAUUUAUAAAAUAAUUGUAUGUAAAGGCUUGCCCAUGUUAUAGGGUAAACUCGUAAUUUCAGUAGAAAUAAUAAUUCUCAAGUAUAGUACUAUAACUAGUAACCCUCAAAUUCCUCAGCUCCCAUGGGAAGAUAUUACAAUCUGACUAAUCUCAUCACUAAACAUUAGAUGCUAGUCUGGACAAAAUUAGACUCAAUUAUUGUUAUGGUGUGACAGCUAUAGUCUAACACAUAUUGAAAAUAUUCUGUGUGGCAUAUUAACUGGUAUAAUCCAAUGAGCUCAUGAAGAAUUUUUAUAGUUCAUUUCUAGCAAACUGAAACAUUGCUUUUACUUUUCAAUCAUUGAAACAUAAACAUCAAAGUGCUUCUUAAAACAGUUUAUCAUUUUCUUACCACCUUUUGUCAUCUAGCUCCUUGGGAAACAAAUAAGAAGACUGGGAAAUAAUCUGUACUUAACUGCCCCUGAGGUGAUAGUGAAGCUUCCCCCGUCUCCAGGUACCACUGACCCUUUUAAAAUAAUAGCCCAGUCUCCACCAG